rnacentral:tRNA from 1 species
GUGGGGUUGUGCCUCAGUGGUAGAGUGCUCACCUAGCAUGCAUGAGGCACUGGGUUCAAUCCUUAGCACCACA